GUGAGGAAUAUUGCGCAAUGGAGGCAACUCUGACGCAGCCAUGCCGCGUGCAGGAAGAAGGCGCUACGCGUUGUAAACUGCUUUUAACCGGGAAGAAACCCCAGGACGUGUCCUGGGUUGACGGUACCGGAGGAAUAAGCACCGGCUAACUUCGUGCCAGCAGCCGCGGUAAUACGAAGGGUGCAAGCGUUAUCCGGAUUCAUUGGGUUUAAAGGGUGCGUAGGCGGAGCGUUAAGUCAGUGGUGAAAUCCUGCAGCUUAACUGUAGACUUGUCAUUGAUACUGGCGCUCUUGAGUGCGCUUGAAGUGGGCGGAAUGUGCCGUGUAGCGGUGAAAUGCUUAGAUAUGGCACAGAACACCAAUUGCGAAGGCAGCUCACUAAGGCGAUACUGACGCUGAGGCACGAAAGCGUGGGGAUCGAACAGGAUUAGAAACCCCGGUAGUCC
rnacentral:rRNA from 1 species